ensembl:lncRNA
UGAAUGUCUGUUAUCUGACGACUACAGGAAAGAGCACAGCCCACAGAAACCAAAAGGUUCAAAUGACAGUUUCUAAUGCAGUCUCUGUACAAAAGGAGAAUCUGGUGAGAAUCAGCUUAGUGUUUUUUUACAACGGGGAGAAGACGAUGAUACUUUCCAGCUUCAAAAGCUUCUUUAUUUAUUAUUAUUUGAGCUCCUUAUUCUACCCAAGCAAUGGUUUUGAGGUGAUCCAGCCACAGAAUAAGACUAAUAACCCAGAUACAGUUUUCAUCAGCUGUAACUUUACAGCAAACACUGGGACAAUUGUAGAUGUUCGACUCAACAAGGUUUUACCAGAGAAAAAGAUGCUCUGCCAGACUGAAUCUGAAGCCUGUCAUAACAUUAUCGUACUUAAAGACGCUCCAUUCAAGUACAUUUUCAUCUUACUCAAUGCUGGGCCAGAGGCAUGGACCUCAAAGUAUGAAUGUGAGUGGUCAGCAACAAAUAAGGAUGGGACGGACAAAACCGUGACAAGUGCAGCAAACAAAUUAAUUAAACUGCAACUACAAGGUCUUCAGGUCAGAGGUCACGGUUGGUCCUACGUACCAAACUCGUGGGGAUCCAGCUUUUCACGCACCAAAGCUGUGGUAUUCUCUUCCAUUGUCUUUACGCCGUGCAGACCCCACUGACUCUUUCAAAAAGUAGCUGAAGACAUUUCUAUACAAACAAGUUUUUAAUUAAUUUUCUCAUUGUUUUGUUUUAUUUAUAUUUCUGGUUUUAUUGUGAAGCACUUUGUGAUUUUUAUCAGUAAAAAGUGCUAUAAAUACAUCUUACUUACUUACUUUUCUAAAUCUUCAAGGAAACUUUGCCUUAAUCUUGUAUUCAAAUUACAAUAUUUUAUACUAUGUUUUGUGUAGUUUCCACGUGCUUCAGUGUUUCUGCACACGCACACAACAAUGGUACAAUUUCUAAUUAUUGCGGUACUACAUGCCUUAUUGCUAAUAAUAUUAUAUUUUUAUAAAUAUACCUCAAGCUCCCCAUUAGUGGCCAGUUUGGUUUCUGUCUCAUCGCUUGUAUCAUUUUAUGAUACACAUUGUUGAGGGUGGGGGAUACCUACUUAUCGUAGUUUACACAUUUCAAGCUGGAGAAAACGGUGUGCCCAUCAGCAGCCACAGAAUCGGUUCAAUAUCCUUUAUUAAGGAUAAAUGUAAUUGUAACCUCUUAGUUAAUCUGAACGAUAAGCUGUUGUUUUGCUGGAGGGGAACAAAAAAUCAUUGUAUUUGUCAUCACAUGUAGCAAAUAUCAUACCUUGACUUUUGAAUGGCCUGUUGUCUUUAUGUGUCUUUUAUUUCAAAAUAGAUUUGUAUGGUUUCUUUUAACCAAUAAAAAUUAAAUCCAAA